UUCAAAGGCACAUUUUUUUCCAGAGGCUUCGUCAAUGAAAAAUUCUAUAACAUCUUCAAAUAUGAGGAUUAAGCUUUCAGUCUUUUAGUUAAAGAUUUUGGUUUUGUGUCUCAGAACGUGCUGUUGCCAGGAAGAGCUUUCUACUUCCAUGUUUUUGUAUCUCAGUGAUACUUUGUGUACCUUGAGUACUAGUUUAUUAGCUACGAGGUGAUGCUGCUGCUUAUUAGAUCCUGUGGACAGUUUAAACAGUAAUUAGCAGAUAUGAUUGCAAGUAAUUGCACAGCAACUAAUAGAUUAGGUGUGAUUUCUAGGAGGAUAACUUUCCAUCUCUUGGUCUGUAUAGAAGUGAGAAGUCCAAUAGGUGGAAAAGGAAGAAUGACUUUUAACCAAUAAUUUUUAUUAACUUCAUUGUUCAAAUUGAAGACUCUAAGAUAGAAUUGAGUAUAAUUAUCAUCUGCAAUGACACAUGUGAUGGCACACGUUUGUUUUGAACAAGACGUUAAAAAGAGUGAUUGAAUUUGCAAGAGUGACAAUUGUGACAAUUGAUAAUUGCAGAGAUGUUGCCUCCAUCAUUUUCGCAGACUAAGGACACGUCUGAAUGAGAAACGGUGCCCGAUGCUCGGAGCAACAGGAGUCCACCCCCAGGAAAUCUUGGAGAGAAGUCUGGGUUGGUUUUAGCUGGAUCAGAAGAAUUACAAAGAAAAAUCAAUUUUCCUGACAAAGAGCUGAUUUGAACAAGGGGCCAGAAGACAGAAGUACUGUGAGAAAUUAGUGUUGAAUGGAUCUACAACAGAACACUGCAUCUGCAGAAAAGAAGGUCAUAAUAAUUAGAGAUAUGUGGAAAAAGGCAGUAAUUUAUGUUGGUGUCUGAACUCUUAAAUAAUAUUUAAGGUGAAAAUUGGCCUGAUUUCGAAUGAAAUAUUCUGUGCUCAGAUCUUCUUUCUAAAUGUAAUGUAGCUAAAUAUAGACUCAGAACAUUGUUUCAAAACAUUGUUUUUCCACUUAAGGAAAAAAAAAAAAAAAAAAAAAAAACCUUUUGAGUUCCCUUGUCCUCCUCUCAUUUUCCCUAAAAUUCUGCCAAAUUUAAUCUGCUUUUACAAAGAGAGCUAGGCAUCUUGUAUUUUUGUAUCAAAUAAAUCAUUCACUCUAAAGGUUUUCAUCCAGCUAAUAAUACAAAUGACCAGAACAGACUGUGCUUUAUACCUUCUAACUGAAGGAGUCAUGUUUCUGACUCUGCUGCUAACUACAGAGCAAGGAGCCCCAGACCUGCCUGCACCCAUCCCAUCCCUUGAAUUCAGAGAAAUAAGAAAUUGAUUUUUGCAACAGAUUAGAUGGAUAAGCAAAUUUUUUGUUGUUGUUGUUGCAAUUCCAGACUUCUCCAAAGCUUACUGGAAUUCAUAUUUUACUGGGUUUUUGUGAGGUAUCUCACACAGUUCCCCCUCCCUCGCUGUGCUGGUGGAUUUACACCCAUGGUUCCCAAGCUCAUGAACUUUGCUUUGCCUUAUUUCCCUCAAGUGAUGGAAUUGUGGACAGAUUUUGGAGUCCCAUCACUGCAAUGCAAAAUAAUAUAUUUUCUCCUGCUAAUAAGUGGAAGCCUGAGGAUUAUUUGGGUUGUUUGCUGCCAGAGUGCUGCACUGAAGCUAGGGAUGGGACAGACACUCAUUAUCUAAACCGUUGUUUUCCCCCAUAUUCCUUUCAGCUGUUCUAGAAUUUGUAUUCUAGUUAUACAAAAUAAAAUUCCUGGGCUGACCCUGGCAGACAACACCAGUUUCAAGCCUGCCUUCCACCAUUUUAGUGUGAAAAUGUGGCUGGAAGACAUCCAAAACUCUGAAGGUUUGUUUCUGUGUAAGACGUGUAAUAUCCAGCUGCCUUUGACUGAAUUUAAUGGCGUAUUUGUAUUUGAAAAAAUCAAUAAGGUUUAUGAGCUGAAGAGGGAUCCAGUGUAACCAGAUCUGUCACUUUUAUGGACACCUUCUGCAAUUCCUUGUGACACAGGAAUCAGGCUAUAGAAACCAUCCUACGCGCCCCUGCAAAACAAGAUUUAGUGCUGUAAACCUCACUGGAGCAGCUCAAGGAGAGGUACAAUGAUAGAGAACAAAGGAGAGCACUGAGAAACAACCCACCACUAAUCAGCCUAGAAGGCCAAUAAGAUCUGAUAGGUUUCUGCAAUAAAACUACCCAAAACCUCCCAGUGGAUUUUCAUACAAUAGAAAUCAAAAGGGCACAUUAGUCAUAAGGCAAGAGAGACACCAAGGGAAAACUUCCUGCUGUCAUGCUUUAAACAGCUUUCUUCUUUAGACAAAAUAGCCAUCAUGCAAAGUUCGUAACGAAUAAAAGUUUUCACUCUUUGUUGAGGUCCAGUCCAAGGUCUGUGCAGCAUUUAAGCCAUACUAUUAUGAGGCCAUAAACGGGGCACUAGUUAUAAAUUAUUUCUUAUUGCUAUUGCCUUUGAGACACCAUAAUACAUAAUGAUCUGUCAUCAACAUUUAUAAAAUACUUCUACUGGAGCAGGCGGACUUUAGUUCCUUUUCAGACUAGUCCUGCUGAUUUCAAUCAUGUCUGUGGUUAUAUCAAAGGUUUAAUUUGCUUUUCACUCCACAUUUCUGUACUUUGCUAGAUUAUCUGGAACCUCUCAUCACAGGGAGGGAAGAUAUAGUGAGAAAUGGAUGGAAUCUUUCCCUUUUUCCUCAUGACAAUUUGUGCUGGUCUCUAAAAAUUAUAUGUUGCUUAAGGCAGCAUCACCACAGAGUUCUCCCAGCACAGUGCCUGUGUGUCUUUGCACUGGAGCAUGUGGCUGCUGAAGGACAGGCACUGGAAAUCUUUAUGAAGCUCAUGCUGCACAGCCACGUGUCCAAUGCAGUGCUUUGUUUGGCCUGAGAUAAGAUUUCUUUUCCUUUGAACUUCUGUUAAGUGUUUGCAAAAUAUUCAUUAUUCCUCAAAGAAAGAAUUUCAUACAGUGUCAAUCACUCCUAGUAAGUCUUGUGUUUAUUUGUAAUCCUGUUUUGUUUUAACCUAAAGUCAAAAAUUCACAAAUAUCUGAUGGGAUUAUUAACACAAAACUGCACAAAGUCCUUUCUUUCAUUUCACAUAAUAAGCAUGAAAACUUAUGUGAGAACUGGUCUUCUGUUGAGUUAAAUUUACAUUUUGUGGAACUUACUACAAUGUGACAUAUUUAAGUUUGUAACUACUGUUUCCAAAAUUUCCAAAAGAGAACAGUCUAUUUUAGCAUUUGAUGCCAAUAAAACAAAAAGACUCAUCUUUACCCAUCUGAAAUUAGUGAUUUUUUCCCGCUGCCUUUUAUAAAGAUAAAACAUAUGCAUUAUCUGUUUUAUUUGAAUGAUAAGAGACUGGCACUGCAUAUCUGACAGAAUAGGCUUGUAUCUUUUGAUGUUCACUAACAGUAAAUAAUAAUUAAUACUUUUUUCAUUGGAUGUGGGACUGUAAGCAGUAAAGACAGUUCUUAAUCAUAG
rnacentral:lncRNA from 1 species